UACUAUUAUAUAUGGCACUUAAGGAACAGCUCUGAGCUCAAUACAUAGAUCCUCAUAAAACAAUAAGACCCUGAGGCAGUGGCCCACGAGACACUGACUGUGCCAUGUCAGUUGUGUUGUAGGUGUUCAGAGGAGAGAGUAAAGCUGGAACGACCCAGGGAGGACAUGGUCUGGCCUUGGACCUUGAAGAGGAGACAAAAGAAGAUAGGAUGACAAAGCAGAAGACCAGAGAGAAAGAGAUUUGAAGAUGCUACCCUGCUGGCUUUGGAGAUGGAAGCAAGGGCCAUGAGCCAAGAGGUGUAUGUGGCUUUUGGAAGCAGGUAAAGGCAAGGAUAGCCCCUGGAGCCUCCAGAAGGAGCCA
rnacentral:lncRNA from 1 species